rnacentral:rRNA from 1 species
UACGGAGGGAGCUAGCGUUGUUCGGAAUUACUGGGCGUAAAGGGCGCGCAGGCGGCUGCUCAAGUCAGGCGUGAAAGGCCUGGGCUCAACCCGGGAAUUGCGCUUGAGACUGGGCUGGCUUGAGUACAGAUGAGGCUGGCGGAAUGGGUGGUGUAGCGGUGAAAUGCAUAGAUACCAGGAAGAACACCCGUGGCGAAGGCGGCUCUCUGGGACGGUACUGACGCUGAGACGCGAAAGCGUGGGGAGCGAACAGG